AGCGAACGCUGGCGGCAGGCUUAACACAUGCAAGUCGAGCGGGCACUUCGGUGUCAGCGGCAGACGGGUGAGUAACACGUGGGAACGUACCCUUGGGUUCGGAAUAACGCUGGGAAACUAGCGCUAAUACCGGAUACGCCCUUUUGGGGAAAGGCUUGCUGCCGAAGGAUCGGCCCGCGUCUGAUUAGCUAGUUGGUGGGGUAAUGGCCUACCAAGGCGACGAUCAGUAGCUGGUCUGAGAGGAUGAUCAGCCACACUGGGACUGAGACACGGCCCAGACUCCUACGGGAGGCAGCAGUGGGGAAUAUUGGACAAUGGGCGCAAGCCUGAUCCAGCCAUGCCGCGUGAGUGAUGAAGGCCUUAGGGUUGUAAAGCUCUUUUGUCCGGGACGAUAAUGACGGUACCGGAAGAAUAAGCCCCGGCUAACUUCGUG
rnacentral:rRNA from 1 species